AGCGAAUGGAUUAAGAGCUUGCUCUUAUGAAGUUAGCGGCGGACGGGUGAGUAACACGUGGGUAACCUGCCCAUAAGACUGGGAUAACUCCGGGAAACCGGGGCUAAUACCGGAUAACAUUUUGAACCGCAUGGUUCGAAAUUGAAAGGCGGCUUCGGCUGUCACUUAUGGAUGGACCCGCGUCGCAUUAGCUAGUUGGUGAGGUAACGGCUCACCAAGGCAACGAUGCGUAGCCGACCUGAGAGGGUGAUCGGCCACACUGGGACUGAGACACGGCCCAGACUCCUACGGGAGGCAGCAGUAGGGAAUCUUCCGCAAUGGACGAAAGUCUGACGGAGCAACGCCGCGUGAGUGAUGAAGGCUUUCGGGUCGUAAAACUCUGUUGUUAGGGAAGAACAAGUGCUAGUUGAAUAAGCUGGCACCUUGACGGUACCUAACCAGAAAGCCACGGCUAACUACGUGCCAGCAGCCGCGGUAAUACGUAGGUGGCAAGCGUUAUCCGGAAUUAUUGGGCGUAAAGCGCGCGCAGGUGGUUUCUUAAGUCUGAUGUGAAAGCCCACGGCUCAACCGUGGAGGGUCAUUGGAAACUGGGAGACUUGAGUGCAGAAGAGGAAAGUGGAAUUCCAUGUGUAGCGGUGAAAUGCGUAGAGAUAUGGAGGAACACC
rnacentral:rRNA from 1 species